ensembl:snoRNA
CUGGUUUAUAUGAUGAACAAAACCAAAUCACCAUCUUUCGGCUGAUCUUGAUGAUGAUUUAUUUUCAACCUGAUGAAAAACCAG